rnacentral:sRNA from 1 species
UCAAAAGCGUCGAUCUUUGCCCUCUCAC